rnacentral:misc_RNA from 1 species
AAGUCGUAACAAGGUUUCCGUAGGUGAACCUGCGGAAGGAUCAUCAAUGAAAUUUUCUUCAUUUCAUAUUAACAAGGGAAAGUUUUUUAUGACUUUCUCCAGUCCUUAACUUUUUAUUUGGGAAGUUGGAGUGAUUUUAUUUAUAAAGUCCUCCAAAUAUUCUAAACAAAUUUAUCAAAAUAGAAGAAAUUUCUAUUUUUACUUUUUUAAUUUUAUAAGUUUUAUUGAUUUUCAAUCAUAAAUACAACUUUUAGCAAUGGAUCUCUAGGCUCUC